UUCUCCUGGAAAAGGGUGGUAAUGCCGGAUGCUCCAGUUGAUCGCAUGGUCUUCUGGGAAAGCUUUCGCGGUAUGGGAUGGGGUCGCGUCCUAUCAGCUUGACGGCGGGGUAACGGCCCACCGUGGCUUCGACGGGUAGCCGGCCUGAGAGGGCGACCGGCCACAUUGGGACUGAGAUACGGCCCAGACUCCUACGGGAGGCAGCAGUGGGGAAUAUUGCACAAUGGGCGCAAGCCUGAUGCAGCGACGCCGCGUGAGGGAUGGAGGCCUUCGGGUUGUAAACCUCUUUUAUCGGGGAGCAAGCGAGAGUGAGUUUACCCGUUGAAUAAGCACCGGCUAACUACGUGCCAGCAGCCGCGGUAAUACGUAGGGUGCAAGCGUUAUCCGGAAUUAUUGGGCGUAAAGGGCUCGUAGGCGGUUCGUCGCGUCCGGUGUGAAAGUCCAUCGCUUAACGGUGGAUCCGCGCCGGGUACGGGCGGGCUUGAGUGCGGUAGGGGAGACUGGAAUUCCCGGUGUAACGGUGGAAUGUGUAGAUAUCGAA
rnacentral:rRNA from 1 species